UUUCUUUUUUUUUUUUUUUCUCUUUUUUUUUUUUUUAAUCUGCGUGCACGGUAGCGUUUGUUAAAACAUCUCUUAAACCAGAACAUUUAUACGGAAUUUCUUCAGAAAUAGUGCGAGCCCGACCAUCGUUUUCUACAUUUCCAACACCUGCACCUGAGGUGCCUGAGCUUACAGACAUUGUAUCACUACCCGCAGACUAUGUUUGCUGUAUCGCUAUUUGCGGACAAAAAUGUCGCUUCUAUUGUCAGUGAUAGAGUCGUCAUCAUUAAGAUCAGUUUCAUGAACAAGAUUACUUAACCCAUCUGUGUACGCCGUCACGUCAUCGUCACUAUAAUUUUCAGAAAUUUCUAGUAGGCCUGACGGGCCUCGAGGUACUUCGCGUAAGUUUUCAUGGGAAACUUUGUACACUAGAACCAUUUACAUGUCUCAACUUAUACCUAUCGUUUUCCAAAACUGCAGAUGAUUGAAAGAUUACUGGUGGUCCGGAGGCCUUUCCCGCUUCACCGGGACGGGUGGGCGAGCAAAGGCUCAGCCAAGAGGGGUGGGAUUUGCUAACAACUGCCCGAGUGCCUCCGAAGGAGACCUAACAACUCAAGAGCAAUUGCUUCGCGAAUGAAUCUACUACCGGAUCGGAAUCGUGACCCACUGAGAAGAUCCGGCGAGAAACUCAGUGGGCUGAUGCAUGGGUUAGGUUGCACGUCGACCUCUUUGUAGAGUUCGAUGAGUACGGUUACCGGGGUUCCUCAGCCUGCUCCUAGUGUUAGAGCUGAAGGUAUCUAAUGCAAGAGUUAUUGGAUCUGGUGGAUCCGUAAGGACGUGUCUAAGGCGACGACGGUGACUUGCUCCUGCGUGAUCAGGAUUCGGGGUGCUGUAAUGUUGAAGGGACCUUUAUAUUUUCGGUCUAAUUUAC